rnacentral:tRNA from 1 species
GGAGAGAUGGCUGAGUGGUUGAAAGCACCGGUCUUGAAAACCGGCGUGCGUUAAUAGCGCACCUAGGGUUCAAAUCCCUAUCUCUCCGCCA